CCUACGGGAGGCAGCAGUAUGGAAUAUUGCUCAAUGGGGGAAACCCUGAAGCAGCAACGCCGCGUGGAGGAUGAAGGUUUUCGGAUUGUACACUCCUUUUGUUAGAGAAGAUAAUGACGGUCUCUAACGAAUAAGCACCGGCUAACUCCGUGCCAGCAGCCGCGGUAAUACGGAGGGUGCAAGCGUUACUCGGAAUCACUUGGCGUAAGGAGCGCGUAGGCGGGAUAGCAAGUCAGAUGUGAAAUCCUAUGGCUUAACCAUAGAACUGCAUUGGAAACUGUUAUUCUAGAGUAUGGGAGAGGUAGGUGGAAUUCUUGGUGUAGGGGUAAAAUCCGUAGAGAUCAAGAGGAAUACUCAUUGCGAAGGCGACCUGCUAGAACAUAACUGACGCUGAUGCGCGAAAGCGUGGGGAGCAAACAGGAUUAGAUACCCCAGUAGUC
rnacentral:rRNA from 1 species